rnacentral:rRNA from 1 species
AUUGAACGCUGGCGGCAGGCCUAACGCAUGCAAGUCGAGCGGAUGAAGGGAGCUUGCUCCUGGAUUCAGCGGCGGACGGGUGAGUAAUGCCUAGGAAUCUGCCUGGUAGUGGGGGAUGACGUCCGGAAACGAGCGCUAAUACCGCAUACGUCCUGAGGGAGAAAGUGGGGGAUCUUCGGACCUCACGCUAUCAGAUGAGCCUAGGUCGGAUUAGCUAGUUGGUGGGGUAAAGGCUUACCAAGGCGACGAUCCGUAACUGGUCUGAGAGGAUGAUCAGUCACACUGGAACUGGGACACGGACCAGACGCCUACGGGAGGCAGCAGUGGGGAAUGUUGGACAAUGGUGGAGAGCAUUGUCCAGCGAGGCGGAGUGUGUGAAGACGGUCUUCGGAUUGUAAAGCACGUUUAGUUGUGGGGAAGCGCAGUAAGUUAAUACCUUGCUGUUUUGACGUUACCAACAGAAUAAGCACCGGCUAACUUCGUG